UACGUAGGCAGCAAGCGUUGUUCGGAAUUACUGGGCGUAAAGCGUGCGCAGGCGGUUGUGCAAGACAGAUGUGAAAUCCCCGGGCUCAACCUGGGAAUUGCAUUUGUGACUGCACGGCUAGAGUGUGUCAGAGGGGGGUAGAAUUCCACGUGUAGCAGUGAAAUGCGUAGAGAUGUGGAGGAAUAUCGAUGGCGAAGGCAGCCCCCUGGGAUAACACUGACGCUCAUGCACGAAAGCGUGGGGAGCAAACAGG
rnacentral:rRNA from 1 species